AGAUUGAACGCUGGCGGCAGGCCUAACACAUGCAAGUCGAGCGGUAGAGAGGUGCUUGCACCUCUUGAGAGCGGCGGACGGGUGAGUAAUGCCUAGGAAUCUGCCUAGUGGUGGGGGAUAACGUUCGGAAACGGACGCUAAUACCGCAUACGUCCUACGGGAGAAAGCGGGGGACCUUCGGGCCUCGCGCCAUUAGAUGAGCCUAGGUCGGAUUAGCUAGUUGGUGAGGUAAUGGCUCACCAAGGCGACGAUCCGUAACUGGUCUGAGAGGAUGAUCAGUCACACUGGAACUGAGACACGGUCCAGACCUCCGUACGGGAGCGAGCA
rnacentral:rRNA from 1 species